rnacentral:rRNA from 1 species
GGUUGCGAUCAUACCAGCACUAAUGCACCGGAUCCCAUCAGAACUCCGCAGUUAAGUGUGCUUGGGCGAGAGUAGUACUAGGAUGGGUGACCCCUGGGAAGUCCUCGUGUUGCAACCCC